rnacentral:lncRNA from 1 species
CUUGUCAUUUUCUCUCUGGUCUAGAGAUUUAACACAAUUUUUGAUACUGCUAGAGGACAUGGCUCUGUUUUUGCGCAUCAUUGUAUUAUUUGCUCACAGUUACUGCCUAUUGCCACUGGGUGAGGGUCAAGAGCCACAUAUUCUGAGCCCUCUGUGGUCCACUGAGAUCCAGGAACUGGAGCCAUGCUGGGCUUUGGCCCCAACUCUGGUUUACGGCGGUACAGUGGCUGUGUUUAGGUGGGAGAGACACAGGCAGUCUAGGAUUUGAGGUCUGCUUCCUGGCUGGUGAGAGAUUUGCUGCUUCUCUGGCUCCUGCUCAGCUCAUCUCACAUCUAAGACUGUAUGGGGGCUUCCCUUACCUUUCAGUUGUUGGAGGAUAAAAAAGGCCAAGCUUGGUCCACAGAUGGGUAGCUUGUAUGUGGGCACAAGUGAAGACGGACUGCUGCCCCUCACCCCAUCGCAGGGUGGCCCUCAAAGAAAGCGGCCCCAGUUGCCUGAGAAGAAAGCGACAGAGGGCAGGUUCUUACACAUCCAUCAACUGAGGAAAAAGACAGGUUUGGUCAUGCAUCGAAAGGCCAAGAGAAUCAACACUGAACAAGUCAAAUGAGGAAACUGAGGCACAGUUAACCAACCUGACCAAGGCUGUACAACUAGUAAAUGGGAGAACAGCAUUCCGACAUGGAUACUCAAGUAUUAUCACCUCCAGUUUAAAGGAAGAAACAGACCUUCUCUUCUUCAUCUGAUUCUGAGUCCAUGAGUUCUUAACUCCCAAUAAAGAAAAG